rnacentral:rRNA from 1 species
GACGAACGCUGGCGGCGUGCCUAACACAUGCAAGUCGAACGGAAAACAUAGCAAUAUGUUUUUAGUGGCGAACGGGUGAGUAACGCGUAGACAACCAACCUUUUUGUGGGGGACAACACUUCGAAAGGAGUGCUAAUACCGCAUAAGCUCUUGAUGCCGCCUGGUAUUAAGAGGAAAGGAGCUUCACGGCUUCGCAAAAAGACGGGUCUGCGUCUGAUUAGCUAGUUGGAGGGGUAACGGCCCACCAAGGCGACGAUCAGUAGCCGGUCUGAGAGGAUGGACGGCCACACUGGGACUGAGACACGGCCCAGACUCCUACGGGAGGCAGCAGUGGGGAAUCUUCCGCAAUGGACGAAAGUCUGACGGAGCGACGCCGCGUGAGUGAUGAAGGCCCUUGGGUCGUAAAGCUCUGUCAUCAGGGACGAACGGUCACGUCAGGAAAUGGGCGUGAAUUGACGGUACCUGAGAAGGAAGCCACGGCUAACUACGUGCCAGCAGCCGCGGUAACA